rnacentral:rRNA from 1 species
CCAGCACCUGCGGUAAUUCCAGCUCCAAUAGCGUAUAUUUAAGUUGUUGCAGUUAAAAAGCUCGUAGUUGGAUUUCGGGCGGGUGACGGCGGUCCGCCUCUGGUGUGCACUGCUGCUCAUCCGCCUUACUGUCGGGGACGGGCUCCUGGGCUUCACUGUCCGGGACCCGGGUUCGACAUGGUUACUUUGAGUAAAUUAGAGUGUUCAAAGCAGGCGUUCGCCCUGAAUACAUUAGCAUGGAAUAGCACGAUAGGACUCUGGCCUAUUCUGCUGGUCUGUAGGACCGGAGUAAUGAUUAAGAGGGACAGUCGGGGGCAUUCGUAUUUCAUUGUCAGAGGUGAAAUUCUUGGAUUUAUGAAAGACGAACUUCUGCGAAAGCAUUUGCCAAGGAUGUUUUCA